rnacentral:rRNA from 1 species
GAAAGCAUGGGGAGCGAACAGGAUUAGAUACCCUGGUAGUCCAUGCCGUAAACGUUGGGCACUAGGUGUGGGGGACAUUCCACGUUUUCCGCGCCGUAGCUAACGCAUUAAGUGCCCCGCCUGGGGAGUACGGCCGCAAGGCUAAAACUCAAAGGAAUUGACGGGGGCCCGCACAAGCGGCGGAGCAUGCGGAUUAAUUCGAUGCAACGCGAAGAACCUUACCAAGGCUUGACAUGGGCCGGACCGGGCUGGAAACAGUCCUUCCCCUUUGGGGCCGGUUCACAGGUGGUGCAUGGUUGUCGUCAGCUCGUGUCGUGAGAUGUUGGGUUAAGUCCCGCAACGAGCGCAACCCUCGUUCCAUGUUGCCAGCGCGUAAUGGCGGGGACUCAUGGGAGACUGCCGGGGUCAACUCGGAGGAAGGUGGGGACGACGUCAAAUCAUCAUGCCCCUUAUGUCUUGGGCUUCACGCAUGCUACAAUGGCCGGUACAAAGGGUUGCGAUACUGUGAGGUGGAGCUAAUCCCAAAAAGCCGGUCUCAGUUCGGAUUGGGGUCUGCAACUCGACCCCAUGAAGUCGGAGUCGCUAGUAAUCGCAGAUCAGCAACGCUGCGGUGAAUACGUUCCCGGGCCUUGUACACACCGCCCGUCAAGUCACGAAAGUUGGUAACACCCGAAGCCGGUGGCCUAACCCCUUGUGGGAGGGAGCUGUCGAAGGUGGGACUGGCGAUUGGGACUAAGUC